UUCCCACAUGUAGGCCCUGCCUAGUCCUGGCAGCUUACACACAGACAGUGGCCCCCGCUCCCUCCAGAGCUGCCUUCUGUGCAAGGUCAGGUGGCCUUGGACAUCCUGAGCCAGGGCUGCAGGCUCAGGGGGCUGCAUUCCUGGCAUCUCAAUAGGCUAUCUCUGCUUUCCAGAGGUGACAACCCAACAAAGCUCUGCCGAGGGCGCCCCCUGCUGCGGAGAGCACAAUAUUGCCUGGGGGACCUGGGAGGACAAACUUCCAACUGAGGGGCUAGACAUUUUCAGAUAAAAUUCCAGGCCCCUCUCUCCAAUCCAGGCCCAGCCUCCUGCUUGAUCAACUGAGACGGCGGAGGCCAAAGCAGGUUGAGCUCCCGGGGUCACGGCCAGGUCAGCUCCAGGCUCUGCUCAAAGCCGUCCCUGCUUGCUGAACGACACCCCAGAGUCCCUGGGCCUGCGUCCUUGCAACCUCCAGGACCUCACCACGCGUCCGCUGCCCCCCUCCUCCUCCAUCACAGAUGGGCCUGGUUUUCCUCCAGAAGGAUCUCCAGCGACCAGCGCAGAUGUUGGCGGAAUGAACAAAUUGCCCGGCAGUAUUUACUGAGCACCUACUGCAUGCCCGCACAGUCCCAGGCUGAGAAACAAAGUAACAAUGACAACCAAGGUGCCAGCCCUCCUGGAGGAACAGAUGCUCAUUACCAAACCACAGGAAAGUGGCUGCCCUCCCUCCCUUCAUCACACCCACCUCCACCCCACCCCUUUCCAGCACCAGCCUAUUCUUGUUCCAUAACCUUCCUGCUCUCCAAAGACCCCUGAAGACUAUCCUCCAGACUCACGCUGGGUGUGUUCUUAGUCCCCUGACUUCUGGAGUCCAGACCCCACCCUCCUGGCCACCGCGGGACCUCACAUCUCCAGGCCUUUGCUUGGGCUCAGGCUCUGCUGUCUGCCUGCCAUGUUGCUUCUAACUCAGAAAAUUUCAGUCUACCUUUGAGGCCUGGCUCAAUGCUUCCUCCUCAGGGCAGGCCUCCUCUUCCACUGUCCCUGGGAAGGAGUUACAGCCCAAUGCCCGUCCUCCUGGGGAUACUUCGUGCCUCCUUUGCUUGGCCCAGGGUGAGUUCUGACGGCUGCCUAGAAGCCCCCACACAUGCAGGAGCCUCUUCUGGAGCUGAGGAGCUGGAAGGCAGGGAUGGGCCCCCAUACUGACUGAUCACGUGAACCCCUGUUUGCUCGGGCAGGUGCCCAUUCUUAGCCCACCUUAUAGGUGAGACUUCACACCCUGGCAUCAUUCCUAAUAGGCCAGCUGCUUGACCUUGGAGGGCUUUGGCUUCCUCUUCUGGAAGGAGGGGUUGCUAGGAAGGCACCAUGCUCUGCACACAGUGAGCCAACUGUCCCAACGCAGGGGUGUCAGGCCCACGGCCUCCUGCGGUGCCACACCCCUGCACAGGCCCACGGGUGGCACCCCAACCACCUGCCUCUCUGGCUAGGUUUCGUCGUGGGAGGACGGACCUCCCUUGCCCUACACCUAUGGUGGAAGGGGGAAAGGAGAUGCAUGCCUACCCCCAGCCUCCCACAGCUCAGGAGCCCAGGGUGGCCCCAGGGCUGUGCAUCCUUGCUGCUCGGCCAGACAGCCACAGGCACUGGCUCCGACCGCAACACAGCACCCUCUUCCCAGUACUCCGAGGCUGCUCUCGUCCAGUAAGGGAAGUGGCUGCGCAGGUGGGACCAGGAGGUGCCAGGAGUCCAGACCAGGCAUCCUGAGUUUUUAGAAGAAACCAGAAAUCUGCACCAUUAUGUAAAUAUCCAGAUUUUAAAAUGUUAAUGACUGACUUACAUUGUUUCCAUUUUGAAAGACCUUGCCAAACCAAAUGUGGUCUAUCCAUGCAAUGGAAUAUUUUUCAGCCCUAAAGAGGAAUGAAAUACUGUCACACGCUACAACACGGAUGAACUCCGAGAGCAUUAUGCUGAGUGAAAGAAGGAAGCCAGCACAACGGGACAAAUAAUGAGUCCCCUUCCACCCAGUGUGUGGAUUAGACACAUGCAUAGAGACAGAAAACGUAUCAGGGCCUGGAGGAGGCGGGACAGGGAGCUGCUGCGUAAUGGAUAUAGUCUGGGGUGAGGAAAACUAUAUUUUGGAAAUAACGGUGCUGGUUGCACAACACUGUCAAUGUCCUUAAUGCCGCUGAAUUGUACGCUUAGAAAUGGUUAAAACGUAACAUAAGAUUUUUAUGUUAUACAUAUCUCACCACAAAAGUCCCCCCAAAACCAAAAGAACCCCAAAACCUUGAGCAGGCCAGCGGGCCCCAGUUCACAAGCUCUGUUCCCACCUCCUCCCGCCACAGGCCAAGGCCCUCCCACCUCCGCACCUCGCCCGGGGGGCAGGGAAAGCCAGCCACACACACAGCCCACCUCCGUCAUCCUGCCGGGGCCACCCUCAACCCGCGUGCCGACCACCCGCAGCGCCACCCGCUCACGGACUGCCUCCCACUUGGGUCCGUUUUUUGCCAACUGGAGAGGCCGUGGGUUUUAGGCAGAAUGCAGAGGGGCCGUGUCACCUUGAAGAUGCCACUUUACCUCCUUGA